GAUGAACGCUAGCUACAGGCUUAACACAUGCAAGUCGAGGGGAAACGGCAUUGAGUGCUUGCACUCUUUGGACGUCGACCGGCGCACGGGUGAGUAACGCGUAUCCAACCUUCCCAUUACUGUGGGAUAACCUGCCGAAAGGCAGACUAAUACCGCAUAGUCUUCGAUGACGGCAUCAGAUUUGAAGUAAAGAUUUAUCGGUAAUGGAUGGGGAUGCGUCUGAUUAGCUUGUUGGCGGGGUAACGGCCCACCAAGGCUACGAUCAGUAGGGGUUCUGAGAGGAAGGUCCCCCACAUUGGAACUGAGACACGGUCCAAACUCCUACGGGAGGCAGCAGUGAGGAAUAUUGGUCAAUGGACGGAAGUCUGAACCCGCCAAGUAGCGUGCAGGAUGACGGCCCUAUGGGUUGUAAACUGCUUUUGUAUGGGGAUAAAGUUAGGGACGUGUCCCUAUUUGCAGGUACCAUACGAAUAAGGACCGGCUAAUUCCGUG
rnacentral:rRNA from 1 species